rnacentral:rRNA from 1 species
ACUCCUACGGGAGGCAGCAGUGGGGAAUAUUGCACGAAUCGGGAAGCCCAUCAUGCAGCCAUGCCGCGUGUGUGAAGAAGGCCUUCGGGUUGUAAAGCACUUUCAGUAGGGAGGAAGGUAGUGUAGUUAACACCUGCAUUAUUUGACGUUACCUACAGAAGAAGCACCGGCUAACUCCGUGCCAGCAGCCGCGGUAAUACGGAGGGUGCGAGCGUUAAUCGGAAUUACUGGGCGUAAAGCGCAUGCAGGCGGCCUGUUAAGUCAGAUGU